rnacentral:lncRNA from 1 species
AUCUGUCUUUGGAUAGCGAGUAUGUCGUGACUGUCAUGGCACUGCCCGUCCCUGAGCGGUGGGACCAGUUCUAUAAGAGGAAACAGUUUUUCACACGCACAUGUCCUGAAAAAAAUGGUCUUGAAGAGUGUAAGAAAGACUGGUAUCCCAGAUACGUUGAAGUCCACCAGGAGAACCGGGACGUUUAUGUGACCUUUAACCUUGCGCCUGAGAACUUCAAAGUCCAUCAGUAUUUUUCAUCAUGUUUCGGAGGUGGCCUACGUAAUUACACAAGCAUUAAACCAGUGAGUUUUUGUUAACAAUAUAUACGUUUGUACAAUAUCUGUAAUGUAGAUGUUAUUG